AUCGGCACUGGGUAACAAUGAAUGUUCCACUAUGGAAAUAUUAAUAUCAUUGUUAUCCAGUGCCGUGUA
rnacentral:pre_miRNA from 1 species